rnacentral:rRNA from 1 species
AGCGGCGGAUGGGUGAGUAACACGUGGGGAACCUGCCCCCAAGUCUGGGAUACCAUUUGGAAACAGGUGCUAAUACCGGAUAAUAAAGCAGAUCGCAUGAUCAGCUUUUGAAAGGCGGCGUAAGCUGUCGCUAAGGGAUGGCCCCGCGGUGCAUUAGCUAGUUGGUAAGGUAACGGCUUACCAAGGCGACGAUGCAUAGCCGAGUUGAGAGACUGAUCGGCCACAUUGGGACUGAGACACGGCCCAAACUCCUACGGGAGGCAGCAGUAGGGAAUCUUCCACAAUGGACGCAAGUCUGAUGGAGCAACGCCGCGUGAGUGAAGAAGGUUUUCGGAUCGUAAAGCUCUGUUGUUGGUGAAGAAGGAUAGAGGUAGUAACUGGCCUUUAUUUGACGGUAAUCAACCAGAAAGUCACGGCUAACUACGUGCCAGCAGCCGCGGUAAUACGUAGGUGGCAAGCGUUGUCCGGAUUUAUUGGGCGUAAAGCGAGCGCAGGCGGAAAAAUAAGUCUAAUGUGAAAGCCCUCGGCUUAACCGAGGAACUGCAUCGGAAACUGUUUUUCUUGAGUGCAGAAGAGGAGAGUGGAACUCCAUGUGUAGCGGUGGAAUGCGUAGAUAUAUGGAAGAACACCAGUGGCGAAGGCGGCUCUCUGGUCUGCAACUGACGCUGAGGCUCGAAAGCAUGGGUAGCGAACAGGAUUAGAUACCCUGGUAGUCCAUGCCGUAAACGAUGAGUGCUAAGUGU